GCAUGCCGCGUGAAGAUGAGGUCUUCGGAUUGUAAACUUCUUUUGUUAAGGACGAAGAAUGACGGUACUUGACUAAUAAGCUCCGGCUAACUACAUGCCAGCCCCCCCGGUUAUGAGCCUAGCCGCCGCGGUAAU
rnacentral:rRNA from 1 species